CCUUGGGAUGCGGAUGCCGAGGACCCACGGCUGGGAUGCCGCGGACCCGUGUCCGGCCUCCCCAGGAUGCGGACGCCGCGGUCCUGCGGCUAGGAUGCCGCGGUUUCGCGGCUGGACUCCCGGUCCUGCGGUUCCGCGGCUGGCCUCCGGUCCCGCGGUCCGAGAGCCGCAGUCCCGUGGCUGGCGGGCUGCUCCCGGCCAUUCCACGGCUGGCCGCAUGCCUCGUGGCGUCGCCGUGGCCCGGGGAGCAUCACCAGCCACUCGCAGUGGCCGGCGUGGUGGCGGCCAUGGGUGGCAACCACGGGCUGCCUCCCAAAACAAAAAAAAAUGGGGUGGCGGCGUUGAGAGAAAGAAGAAGAUAAAGAGGGAGAGAAUAGUUUAGGCUUUUCUUUUGAUUGGGCUAGGGCUUGUGAAGCCCAAUCCGAAUAGGUCCAUGGUUGCGAGUUGGGCCCUUUUAUUUGGUCAGCCCAUGUUUAUUUUAUUUGCAUUUCAUUUUAAUGGGCCAGAAUGGGUUUUGGGCCUGAGGCUAAGAGUUAGUAACCCAUUUAAUUGCUAUUUAAAUAUUGAAUAAUUUGAAUUAAGGCCCUCAUGCAUAUUAAUUAAUGAGGUAUUAAAUUUUGGACAUAUUUUGCUGCCAUAUAUACCUUGAAUUUUGUAAUUAAUAUCUUUGUUUGAUCAAUCACAUGUGAUUUUGAUUAUGAUUGCACCAUGUUUGAUGGUUACGAUUUUGUCACAUAACCAUUAUUUUUGUGAUUGAAAUUUGUUGGGCAUAAAGACUAUCAUUAUUUUUCCAUUAAGAGAAUAUUUUGAAAUUGAAGUGGGUGGUAGCCGCCAAAAUGACACACUCACUGAUUUUUAUCUGAUUUUCUCAAAAAAAAGGUAGCAUUGCAUUUUUUCAGAUCAUUGUACGCAAUAUCUUGCCCGAAGAUGUUAUUGUGUAUGAUGUUUUGGAAAAAUGAUAUGGAGUGAUUAACGGGAUUGCAUUAGCCUAGAAUCAUCCUUCUGUCCAAAGGUGAUGGUGUUUCGAAAGUUGAUGUGAUUUUGUUAGUUGGCUUCAUGAUAUGUCUUAAGAGUACCUUAUAGCUUGUUGUAUUGUCAACCCAAAAGUGACUCUACAAUAAUGCACCGAGGCUCUUACCGUAAUUAGACUUAUAUGUUUUUCAAGCCUGAUUACGGACUAUCUAAUUAAUAGCCCAAAUUAAUUAGAUAGAUAUGUUGUCAUCCAUUUAAUUACAUAUAUCACAUUUGGAUGAUAUUAAAUAAAAUAUGUUGUUUCCGCAAUUUUGAAUGUCUCUUCCCUUUCAAGCUAAUUGUCUGCUAUUGAAAUUCUGACUGGAAAUAAUUAUGUGAGAUGCAAAAGAGACAUAGAAAUAGCACUGGGUCUCUUGGGUUUAGAUUUUGCUUUGGAGGAGCAGCCUUCAAAACCAAUAGAUAAGAGCACUGUCGAGUACAAGACUAAGUAUGUCAAGUGGAAAAGAGCUAACAAGCUGUGUUUGAAGAUUAUCAAGCGUUCUAUAUCUGAUUCUAUUAUGGGUGCUAUACCGGACAACGACAAUGCUAAGAAUUUUUUGGAUGCGAUAGGACCGAGAUUUGUUGAGUCCGAUAAAACUGAAACUGGGGACCUAAUGGAUAAAUUUAUGAGUAUGAAAUAUGAUGACACUUGUGGAGUUAGGGAGUAUAUUAUAAAAAUGCUGCACAUAAGUUCUAAAUUAGAAGCCCUAAAAAUUUCCAUUGCAUAGCCUUUUCUUGUCAAUCAUUAUCUUAAUAGCCUUCCCAGCCAGUUCAAUCAACUUAAGGUUGCUUAUAAUGCUCAAGGUGACAAAUAGGAUUUGAAUGAUUUGAUUGCUGCGUGUGCCCAAGAGGAGUAUAGAAUGCAUCGUGAGACUGUUGAAACUGUGCAACUGACCUAUCAGCCUUCUCAGAACAAGAAGUCUUCUCAUAAUCAUAAGGCUAAGUUCCAUAAGAGCAACAAGCCUCACUACAAUCAGCACAACAGAGGGUCUCGUGGACAGACUUCUGGUGGUCCUAAAAGAAUUAUGAAGAAGAAUGACAAAUGUAAGUUCUGCAAAAAGAAGAGUCAUUGGCAGAAGGAUUACCUUAAGUUUAAGACUUUGGUUAGAGAAGAAGAAAACUUCGGUAGGGGUUCAUAAGGAGACGAAGGCCAAGUGAGAAUGAAGUGAACCUGUGCGUUGGAAAUGGAGUUCAAGUUAAACUUGAGUUUAUAGGAGCAGUGGAGUUAUCCUUGGAGUCCGGUUUUUCUCUUGUUUUGGAAAAUAUAUUUUUUGUACCGACGAUGAGACGAAAUUUAAUUUGUGUCAAAACUUGAUCAGUCUGGAUUUUCUUUUAAAUUUAGUAAUGGAAUGAUUGAAUUAUUUUA